rnacentral:lncRNA from 1 species
GUUUAAAAAAAAAAUAUUUUUUUGCUUUCGUGAUGUUUUUUGACGAUUUUUUUUUUUUUUUUUUUACAAAAUUUACAUAAAAUGACAAUUUGAAAAACAGAAGUUUCAACUAAUGAUGCCAACCUCUCAUUUAAAGGUAAAGACAAUGUUUGCCAUCAAUUUGUUUUUAAAAAUCAUACAGUUUCUUCGUUUAUUUGUUUACCAAAGUUCGGCCCCACGAGAAAUCGUUAAAAUGUAUACAUUAUCAACUGAUUCACCAUAGACAGUAUGUGUAAAGUGAUAUUCAAAAAGCGGUCACAAUCUUAAAACUAAUCCGAAAUGUUCCAAAUUUACUGUGUGUUGUUUU